rnacentral:rRNA from 1 species
UGGAGGAAAGUAGGGGAUCGUAAGACCUUGCGCUUUUGGAGCGGCCGAUGUCUGAUUAGCUAGUUGGUGGGGUAAAGGCCUACCAAAGCUUCGAUCAGUAGCUGGUCUGAGAGGACGACCAGCCACACUGGGACUGAGACACGGCCCAGACUCCUACGGGAGGCAGCAGUGGGGAAUUUUGGACAAUGGGCGCAAGCCUGAUCCAGCCAUGCCGCGUGAGUGAAGAAGGCCUUCGGGUUGUAAAGCUCUUUCAGCCGGGAAGAAAAGACCGCGACUAAUAAUCGCGGUUCAUGACGGUACCGGAAGAAGAAGCACCGGCUAACUACGUGCCAGCAGCCGCGGUAAUACGUAGGGUGCGAGCGUUAAUCGGAAUUACUGGGCGUAAAGGGUGCGCAGGCGGUCUUGUAAGUCAGAUGUGA